rnacentral:miRNA from 1 species
UGGCAUGGGUAAGUGGGGAAGA